UACGUAGGGGGCAAGCGUUGUCCGGAAUCAUUGGGCGUAAAGAGCGUGUAGGCGGCCCGAUAAGUCCGCUGUGAAAGUCCAGGGCUCAACCCUGGGAUGCCGGUGGAUACUGGGAGGCUGGAGUACCGGAGAGGAGGGUGGAAUUCCUGGUGUAGCGGUGAAAUGCGUAGAUAUCAGGAGGAACACCGGUGGCGAAGGCGGCUACCUGGACCAGCACUGACACUGAAGCACGAAAGCGUGGGGAGCAAACAGG
rnacentral:rRNA from 1 species